rnacentral:rRNA from 1 species
UUCAGCUUACACCUGAAAAAUGUCUGCCAACACCAGAUCGUCUUGAUGCCAAACUCUAGCCCAAUCGACAUGACCCAGAAUAACAAAGCCACUUCCCCACACCCAACUAAAGCAUUCAUUAGUCCUAGUAUAGGCGAUAGAAAAGACACCAUUGGCGCGAUAGAGACUACGUACCGUAAGGGAAAGAUGAAAUAGCAAUGAAAACUAAGCUAUAAACAGCAAAGAUCAACCCUUGUACCUUUUGCAUCAUGGUCUAGCAAGAAAAACCAAGCAAAAUGAAUUUAAGUUUGCCACCCCGAAACCCAAGCGAGCUACUUACGAGCAGCUAUUAUUGAGCGAACCCGUCUCUGUGGCAAAAGAGUGGGAUGACUUGUCAGUAGCGGUGAAAAGCCAACCGAGCUGGGUGAUAGCUGGUUGCCUGUGAAACGAAUCUAAGUUCACUCUUAAUUCUUCUCCAAGGAAAACCCACAAACCCCAACGAAGCGAAUUAAGGGCUAUUUAAAGGAGGUACAGCUCCUUUAAAAAAGAAUACAAUCUCUACGAGCGGAUAAGUACCAACUUUUCCAACUGAAUUGUGGGCCCUCAAGCAGCCAUCAACAAAGAGUGCGUUAAAGCUCCAUAUCACAAAAAUACAAGAACUUCACGACUCCCUCCCCAUUAACAGGCUAACCUAUAUUCAAAUAGGAGAAUUAAUGCUAGAAUGAGUAACCAGGGUACUCCCUCUACGACGCAAGCUUACAUCUGCACAUUAUUAACAAACCACCAAUAUACGACAAAUCAAACAAGCAUAGUAUUAAACAUAUUGUUAACCCGACAAAGGAGCGUCCAUUAAGAAAGAUUAAA